rnacentral:lncRNA from 1 species
CUCACUAUGAGCAGUAAUACCAUCUCAAGUCAAAGGACUAGUCACAUAACUACAGCAUUGAGAUGAUCACUGAUGAUUGAAUAGAAAUCUAAGUGAUCUCUCGUAUGGUCACGCUCAGUGCUAGUUGUUCUCUGUCAACCAUCCGCACUUGUCACCCUGUGUCUCUACACAGUAGAUUAGAGAUCAUCUAUCUCGAAGGAAGUGAUUUGUGCAUCAGUCUAUCCAGAUCUAUCACUAUCCUCAUGAUAAUCCUA